rnacentral:lncRNA from 1 species
GAUGGGGAAAGGGAUAAUAGAUGCUCACCACUCAUAAGCCAUCUUGUCUCAGAGCUCAGCUCUUGCUGUGGAACGGCGCGGACAGAAACACAACACCAUAAACAUCGAGAGGGCUUUGGGAGAGGCGGGAAUGGAUCCAGGUGGGGAUGGGGAUGUUUUCAUACCUAGCCUUAGUUCUUUGUGCCUAUCUUCACUUAUUUUGAACAUUUUGUUCAAAGAGGAAAAGAAUUCUAUAAACAAUUUUACAUGUAUUAUAAUUGCCCACAAAGAUGAUGGCACAGAUGUCUCCCAGGCACAGUGUUUAUGCAGAAUAGCAGAGAAUUCAUUCAUUUUAUUGGAUUUUGUUUUGCAGAGCUGUUUGCACAGUAAGUUGAAGUGCACCGUCAGUCUGUGGGCUCGGAUAUGUUUUGGGUUAAGUUUUCUCCUCUCUCCUUCCUGUCCUUGGCACUUUGGUCCUUUCUAAGAAACUCACAUCAUAUGAGCUCUUUCUGCAGUAAUACUUUAAGAAUUAAGUCUCUACUGGCCGGGCACAGUGGUUCACGCCUGUAAUCCCGGCACUUUGGGAGGCCAAGGCGGGUGGAUCACCUGAGGUCAGGAGUUCAAGACCAGCCUGGCCAACAUGGUGAAACCCCAUCUCUACUAAAAAUACAAAAAUUAGCCGGGCGUGGUGGCGGGCGCCUGUAAUCCCAGCUGCUGGGGAGGCUGAGACAUGAAAAUUGCUUGAAACUGGGAGGUGAAGGUUGCAAGGAGCUGAGAUCACACCCCUGCAUACUUCAGCCUGGGCGACAGAGUAAGACUCUGUCAAAAAAAAAAACAAAAAACAGAAUUAAGUCUCUGCUAAAUCAGUUUCCAUGAUACUACUAUGCCUCAGAAAUGCUGCAGAAUGGGCACACCCCUCCCCACGUGGCUGGCCAUGAGCACCCCAUGCAGCUCCCUGCCGUAUGUCCUGGAAUAGACAGGCCUGAUGAACAAGGCUGUGGCUAAGGCCGGUGUCCUCCUGUGAUUGCCAGGCUGACCUCAGACUACCCAGGGGAGACAUGUCCUCCUCAGUUCCCUCCUGGGGCAGCCCUCAAGGCCACAGUGCUCAGCAUCUGGGUGGGUUCCACCCGCUGGCAGCUCAGCAGAUUUCCCUAGCCGUUUGCCUGUCGCCUUUUUGUCUCUUAUUUUUAUGAUUUCUUUGACUUACUUAGCCCAGAUUGAUUGGGAAGCAUCACUGAUGUUGCUUAUUUAAAUUUCAUAGUCACUCGAAUCCAUAACAUUCAGGCAUACAGUUUUGCAACUCUUUGAUUUCAAUAAUUCACUUUUCUUUCUUUGAGUCCCCAGAUUGCCUGAUGGCAAAAAGCUUUAUAGAGUCCCUUGGAAUUCUCAUCUCAAACCAGUGACUUCUCCAUCACUUCAGCUAUUAAAUUCAUUGGUGAGCAGGUCCACAGCUCCGGGGGUCUCCCCUGCGCCCCAUGCCCUCUGGCCUGGGGUUCUUUCUAAGCUCCUGGGAACGUGUACAUCUAUGCCCUGGCAGCCUCUUGGGAGAGAGACCUCAUUUUCCUCCUCUGAGUCACUGGAGGCUUCUUGUUCCAUGUCAGGUGUGGACCUCAUUGGAGGCAGCUGUUCUCAGCUGCCCACUUCCUGUGCCCUGGAGACCCAGGCCCACCUGGCACUCCCCUCCCUGUUCCCAUUCAGUGACCACUGCUGUCCACCACCCACCCAGGGGCCUGGGCACAGUCGUGGGGAGGGUCGGAGUCAGGCAGUGCUUGGGGUAGGGGAUGGCGGAAUCUGUCCCCACCCUUGGCUCACAGUGCUCCAGUGCACUUGGCAGGCAACUCGAUCGAGAUGAGCCUCUCAUCCUCCUGAGUCCAGGUGCCUCGUGUGUCCUGGCAUGGAGGUUGUAAUCCUUUGGGGCUGCUGGCACAGCUGGGUUAAUGCAGUGGCCCCGUGGGAUGCGACUUACCCACCUGGGGCAUGGCAUGUGGAUUAGCAGCUGACAGCCUGCAGGGCACACACAUACCAAGUUGCGGGGCAGUGCCCCAAGCACCUGUGACGGUCAGCCCUCAAGCGUGAACAUCCUGUCCUUGAGACGGCACUACUUGAAACAGCAAAUGAGAAACACUACAGCAGACCAAGAGAGACUCAAAAGAAAGGAAAACGCUUUCUGUUUUAGUCCCUGUCGUGGCACAUUCUUCCGGCUUUCUGAACAAAGGCUCCAGGUUUUCACUUUAUACUGGGCCCCGCAAACGACAUAGCAGGUCCUGUAUAAGCACAGCCCAUUCUGCUCUUACUUCUAUGGUUGUGGGUGCUUUUAAAGUGUUCAAAGUCUACAGAGACUUGCGACUUAAUGGAAUCCUUAAAAGACUUUCACUGAGUUAUGAAAUUCAUAUUUUUUAGUAGUAGAGAAAACAGGUCGCUUAGAAAAUCAACCCACUUUAACGGCUUUUUUGUUGUGGUAAAAUACACAUCACAUAAAAUUUAUCAUGUUGACUAUUUUUGGGCAUACAGUUCGGUGGCAUUAAGUGAAUUUACAUUUGUGUGCCACCAUCGCCACCACCUCCAAAUAAAUGUGUUUUAACAACUUUGAAGUUUAAUACACUGAGCAUGAAACUAAGUACAAACAAGAACGAGCUUUCUUUCCCACUUGGGAGGCUCCGCAGGUGUUAAGGACCCUGGUGCUGGAGGAAGGAUAGUGGGGAAGACGGGUCCAGCAGGUGAGGCGUGAGAGGAACAACGGCAGGCCCUGAACAGCUCCCAGACCCCACUCAGAGUGGCACCCCGCCUGGUGUACGAGACCCACCCACCAGAUGCUCCCAGAGACCAGCGAUGGGGAGGGGCGGCAUCGGCCAAAGCAUAAGAGCAGCCUCUGCUCCAGAACAACAUAAACCAGACAGAGUCCCGCCCCCGGGGGACAGCUCUUCCACCGCACCUCAGGAAGAGAGGGAGACACCGCCGUGAAGACGGUGGUCCUCAAGAGGCCCCUUGAGGUCCCUACAUCUGCCUCCUGCUCAAAACCCCGUGGCCUUCUCGGCUUCACUCUUCCUGACUCUCAAAGGAGGAGCUUCUCCUGCCUGAGCUCAGAAUUCCCUCCCAGGCUUACGGCUGUGGUUCUGAGGUGUGGAACCAGCCCCAGAGCCCGGGGCCUUGUGCUUGAGCCCUCCAGGCUCCGGAACCUCUGCAAAGGGGUUUUCCCUUGACGCAGCGAGAGGCCCCAUCCGAGUCCAGAGCAGACUGCAAGGCCUCAAUCUGCGACCAUAGUCGAACUGAAGCAGCUGUGGGGAGGUUUACUUGGGCAUUGUGAUUAUCAUAGAGCCCCUGAGAUAAUUUCCUCCCUGCCUGUAACCCUCUCCGCUGUCAGUCAGUGGCCACCUCACUGUCCCUCUCUGACGUCCCAUCAGUUGCUCCCUGGAGACACCUGUUGAAAACGCCCUGGCUGUACACACCAAACACCUGUCAACACCAUUCCCAAAGAGCUCUUCUUUCGUCUUCCCCCGUCACCUUCUACAGCGUUCUGUGCAAUGGAAGGGCCACAAACGCAAGCCACGGAUGCAAUUUGAAGUUGCCUAGUAACCGUAUCUUAAACAGUCAAAUGAAACAGGCAAAAAUAAUUUUAGUAACAUGUCCUAUUCAACCUAAUGUGUCUAAAAUAUUGCCAUUUCAACAUGUAUCCAUACAAAACAUAAAUGAGCUGUUUUGUAUUUUUUAUAUGAAGACUUUGGCACUGGAUUUCCAGGUGUUCAGGGAGCAGAGGUGGGCCUAGGCCUGUUGGAAAUAGGGCCCAUCAUCGUGGCACGGCCAGUGGGCAGGUGUGCUCCCUCUGAGAUCAU